rnacentral:lncRNA from 1 species
CAGGCUUAUGGCUGGAGACUGGAGCUUCUUGUCCUCUCUAACAAACUGCACCCUGUUACAAAAAUUAUGGUUGGAUAGAAACAUCCUCCAAGGAAUAAUGCCAACUUCUGUUACCAAUCUUUCAAAAACCUUGGAGGUAUUGAUCCUCAUAGAUAACCAGUUGAGUGGUAGUAUACCUCUGGAGUUAGGAAAACUAACAAGCCUCACUGUCCUUGAAAUGGAUAUGAAUUUCUUUUCCGGGCAUAUUCCUGAGACAUUAGGAAAUCUUCGGAACUUGUCCAUCCUAGGCUUAUCCCGCAAUAACCUUUCUGGAGAAAUCCCAACAUCAAUUGGACAACUGAAGAAGCUCACUAAAAUUUAUUUUGAGGAAAAUGAAUUGACUGGAAACAUACCUACAAGUUUAGCAAGUUGCAAAUC